GACGAACGCUGGCGGCGUGCUUAACACAUGCAAGUCGAACAAAGAAGGGACCAGCUUGCUGGUUCGGGAUGAGUGGCGAACGGGUGAGUAACACGUGAGUAACCUGCCUCCUUCUCUUGGAUAACCGCAUGAAAGUGUGGCUAAUACGGGAUAUUCUAGUUCUGCCCCAUGGCGGGUACGGGAAGGAGGUUUCUUCGGCAGGGGUUGGGGUCGCCGCCCAUCAUCUUGUUGUUGGGGUGAUGGCCUACCUAGGCGGCGACGGGUAGCAGGCCAGGUGGGGGGCACGGUUGCACUGGGGCUGAGACACGGACCAGACUGCGAGGCGAGGGAGGAGUGGGGAAUAUUGCACAAGGAGCGCAAGCCGGAUGCCGCGACGCCGCGUGAGGGAGGGUGGGCUUCGGGAUGUAAUCCUCUUUCGGAAGAGAAGCAGGCCUGGUACUUGUGGGUGGGUUGACGGUAGCUGGAUAAGAAGCGCCGGCUAACUACGUG
rnacentral:rRNA from 1 species